UGAAAUGUUAGCUGUUAGCUUUUGGUGAGGCUUUCAAAAGGCAAUUAACAAUUUAUCUUUAUUUUGGCUAAGCUCUUGAAAUAUUAAUUUAGUUGAGUGUAGCUCCGCCAUGUAUCGUUUAAUGUGAUUUCACUGUUUUACACCAACCUCCCUAAUGAGCUGAAUGGAUGGGAGCUGACAGGUUGUUCAGAGCGGCAGUCGAUACUUCAUCCUCCUCUACGUUAAGGCAGAGAGAUAAACGUGUCCCGGAUGUUUCCUCUUUUACAGCACCACUCACAUCCACAGUGGAACAGGAUGUUACUCUACAGCACCACUCACAUCCACAGUGCAACAGGAUGUUCCUCUCUACAGCACCACUCACAUCCACAGUGGAACAGGAUGUUACUCUACAGCACCACUCACAUCCACAGUGGUACAGGAUGGUCCUCUUUUACAGCACCACUCACAUCCACAGUGGAACAGGAUGUUACUCUACAGCACCACUCACAUCCACAGUGCAACAGGAUGUUCCUCUCUACAGCACCACUCACAUCCACAGUGGAACAGGAUGUUACUCUACAGCACCACUCACAUCCACAGUGGUACAGGAUGGUCCUCUUUACAGCACCACUCACAUCCACAGUGGAACAGGAUGUUACUCUACAGCACCACUCACAUCCACAGUGGUACAGGAUGUUCCUCUUUACAGCACCACUCACAUCCACAGUGGUACAGGAUGUUCCUCCCUACAGCACCACUCACAUCAACAGUGGAACAGGAUGUUCCUCUCUACAGCACCACUCACAUCCACAGUGGUACAGGAUGUUCCUCUUUUACAGCACCACUCACAUCCACAGUGGUACAGGAUGUUCCUCCCUACAGCACCACUCACAUCCACAUGGGUACAGGAUGUUCCUCUCUACAGCACCACUCACAUCCACAGUGGUACAGGAUGUUCCUCUCUUCAGCACCACUCACAUCCACAGUGGAACAGGAUGUUCCUCUCUACAGCACCACUCACAUCCACAGUGGUACAGGAUGUUCCUCCCUACAGCACCACUCACAUCCACAGUGGAACAGGAUGUUCCUCCCUACAGCACCACUCACAUCCACAGUGGUACAGGAUGUUCCUCUUUACAGCACCACUCACAUCCACAGUGGAACUGGAUGUUACUCUACAGCACCACUCACAUCCACAGUGGUACAGGAUGUUCCUCCCUACAGCACCACUCACAUCCACAGUGGUACAGGAUGUUCCUCUUUACAGCACCACUCACAUCCACAGUGGUACAGGAUGUUCCUCCCUACAGCACCACUCACAUCCACAGUGAGUGACGUCUGCCUGACGUCAGAGUCCUGCCACACUGUUGGCUUGGGGUUAGUAGUGUUAGUGACAGGCAGACGAAAGACACUUGGCUCAGGGAGGGUUGGGUUAGUAGAGUUACUAACAGGCAGACGGCCUCAGACCUCCCCUGCGACCUCCCCUGCCCUCGGCCCUCUGUUCCUGGGCCAGCAGCCUGCCUCCCUUCUCCAGCCCUCUCCUGUCCUCCCACCCCCGUCACUGGGCCAGCAGCCUGCCUCCCUGCUCCAGCCCUCUCCUGUCCUCCCACCCCCGUCACUGGGCCAGCAGCCUGCCUCCCUGCUCCAGCCCUCUCCUGUCCUCCCACCCCCGUCACUGGGCCAGCAGCCUGCCUCCCUGCUCCAGCCCUCUCCUGUCCUCCCACCCCCGUCACUGGGCCAGCAGCCUGCCUCCCUGCUCCAGCCCUCUCCUGUCCUCCCACCCCCGUCACUGGGCCAGCAGCCUACGUUACAGCUCCA
rnacentral:lncRNA from 1 species